UACAGAGGGGGCAAGCGUUGUUCGGAAUUACUGGGCGUAAAGGGCGCGUAGGCGGCCCGCUAAGUCGAACGUGAAAUCCCCGAGCUCAACUCGGGAACUGCGUCCGAUACUGGCGGGCUUGAAUCCGGGAGAGGGAUGCGGAAUUCCAGGUGUAGCGGUGAAAUGCGUAGAUAUCUGGAGGAGCACCGGUGGCGAAGGCGGCAUCCUGGACCGGCAUUGACGCUGAGGCGCGAAAGCUAGGGGAGCAAACGGG
rnacentral:rRNA from 1 species